UUUAGCUAAUGUUUGGCAUUUUAUGACUUGUUUGUAGACCUUGGGCAGCCAGAAUUGUAGGUUGGAUUUAUCUUGAGUUUGGAUUAUAUUGGAGAGCGUUUGAGGUACAGACGCACAGCCUGGUGAUCCACCUGUUUAGGACACCCCCUUCUGCUAUUCGGAGUGCUCCUCUCAUUCCGGAGCUUAUAUUUUUGGUAUAUAUUUGUUAGUGCAUUUGUAUAUAUUCGUUCAUGGGUACGGCGGGGCCCUGUCCCGUCAUAUGAUUCUGUCUGUCUGUUACCUUUCUUUUAGAGCUGUGGACAUGUUUGUGGGUUAGGGUCUUUCUGUACGGAUGCGUGUGUAUAUGUUGUGUUUGGGCGAUCCCAUUCGUCGCGGCGGCCGGUCCGCAUAUGUUUACAUGUUGCUUUGUUGGCCCUGUGUGGCCUUUGUUGGUAUUUUCUGUGCGCAGGGUUAUUUUGGAUAGUCUGUAAAACAAAGGAAACUCUGCCGAAAUUUUUCUGGAAAGUAUCUAAAUUUGAAA